UGGGGAAUAUUGCACAAUGGGGGAAACCCUGAUGCAGCGACGCCGCGUGAGCGAAGAAGUAUUUCGGUAUGUAAAGCUCUAUCAGCAGGGGAAGAUAAUGACGGUACCUGAACUAAGAAGCCCCGGCUAACUACGUGCC
rnacentral:rRNA from 1 species